rnacentral:rRNA from 1 species
GACGAACGCUGGCGGCGCGCCUAACACAUGCAAGUCGAACGAGCGAGAGAGAGCUUGCUUUCUCAAGCGAGUGGCGAACGGGUGAGUAACGCGUGAGGAACCUGCCUCAAAGAGGGGACAACAGUUGGAAACGACUGCUAAUACCGCAUAAGCCCACGACCCGGCAUCGGGUUGAGGAAAAAGGAGCAAUCCGCUUUGAGAUGGCCUCGCGUCCGAAUUAGCUAGUUGGAGGGGUAACGGCCCACCAAGGCGAUGAUCAGUAGCCGGUCUGAGAGGAUGAACGGCCACAUUGGGACUGAGACACGGCCCAA